GAUGAACGCUAGCUACAGGCUUAACACAUGCAAGUCGAGGGGCAGCAUGAACUUAGCUUGCUAAGUUUGAUGGCGACCGGCGCACGGGUGAGUAACACGUAUCCAACCUUCCGUUUACUCAGGGAUAGCCUUUCGAAAGAAAGAUUAAUACAAGAUGGCAUCAUGAGUUCACAUGUUCACAUGAUUAAAGGUAUUCCGGUAGACGAUGGGGAUGCGUUCCAUUAGAUAGUAGGCGGGGUAACGGCCCACCUAGUCUUCGAUGGAUAGGGGUUCUGAGAGGAAGGUCCCCCACAUUGGAACUGAGACACGGUCCAAACUCCUACGGGAGGCAGCAGUGAGGAAUAUUGGUCAAUGGGCGAGAGCCUGAACCAGCCAAGUAGCGUGAAGGAUGACUGCCCUAUGGGUUGUAAAACUUUCUUUUUAUAAAAGGAAUAAAAGUCGGGUAUGUAUACCCGUUUGCAUGUACUUUAUGAAUAAGGAUCGGCUAACUCCGUGCCAGCAGCCG
rnacentral:rRNA from 1 species